CGGGCGGGGCGCCUGCGGGAGCGCGCCGGUCACAAGAUGGCGGCUGCCAUGCGAGCUUCCUGGGCAGUGUGUGCGCAGCGGGCGGCGACGCGGCCCGGGGGGCAGGCGCGGCGACGGCGCUAACCCAGGCUAGGCCCCUCUUCCUGGCCGCCACUUUCGCCUCCGCCGCCGAGCCUAAGAUGGAUCUUCCUGUGGGCCCCGGCGCGGCGGGGCCCAGCAACGUUCCGGCCUUCCUGACCAAGCUCUGGACCCUCGUGAGCGACCCGGACACCGACGCGCUCAUCUGCUGGAGCCCGAGUGGGAACAGCUUCCAUGUGUUUGACCAAGGCCAGUUCGCCAAGGAGGUGCUACCCAAGUACUUCAAGCACAACAACAUGGCCAGCUUCGUGCGGCAGCUCAACAUGUGGGCCUUCCCUCACUUGGCCCUCAGGAAGAGCUCUCCCACCCCUGUGUGUGCAGACGGCUUCCGGAAGGUGGUCCACAUCGAGCAGGGAGGCCUGGUUAAACCUGAGAGGGAUGACACUGAGUUCCAGCACCCAUGCUUCCUGCGUGGCCAGGAGCAACUCCUGGAGAACAUCAAGAGGAAAGUGACCAGCGUAUCCACACUAAAGAGUGAAGACAUAAAGAUCCGCCAGGAUAGCGUCACUAAGCUACUGACAGAUGUGCAGCUGAUGAAGGGGAAGCAAGAGUGCAUGGACUCCAAGCUACUAGCCAUGAAGCACGAGAACGAAGCCCUGUGGCGAGAGGUGGCCAGCCUGCGGCAGAAGCAUGCCCAGCAGCAGAAAGUCGUCAACAAGCUCAUUCAGUUCCUGAUCUCGCUGGUGCAAUCCAACCGGAUCCUGGGGGUGAAGAGAAAAAUCCCGCUGAUGUUGAGCGACAGCAGCUCUGCACACUCGGUGCCCAAGUAUGGCCGGCAGUACUCCCUGGAGCAUGUGCACGGUCCAGGCCCAUACUCGGCUCCAUCCCCAGCCUACAGCAGCUCCAGCCUCUAUACCCCAGACGUUGUUACCAGCUCUGGACCCAUAAUCUCCGACAUCACUGAGCUGGCUCCCACCAGCCCUCUGGCCUCCCCAGGCAGGAGCAUAGAUGAGAGGCCCCUGUCCAGCAGUCCCCUGGUGCGUGUCAAGGAAGAGCCCCCCAGUCCACCUCGGACCCCCCGGGUGGAGGAGGCGAGUCCCAGGCACCCGUCCUCUGUGGACACCCCCUUGUCCCCGACUGCCCUCAUCGACUCCAUCCUGCGGGAGAGCGAGCCUGCCCCCACCUCAGCCACAGCCCCCACUGAUGCCGGAGGCCGUGUCCCCUCGUCCCCACCCCGCUCAACCCCCGAGAAGUGCCUCAGCGUAGCCUGUCUGGACAAUUUGGCUCGCGCUCCACAGAUGUCUGGGGUCGCCCGCCUCUUCCCCUGCCCCUCCUCUUCCUUUCUGCAUGGCCGAGUCCAGCCAGGGUUAGCGCGGCCCCCAUUGGGGAGGGAGGAGGGCUCUGUCGGAGCUCGGGCCCCUCCUGCAGCCAUGAACCAGACCCUGCCCUGUGCACAGCACUCACCGUGUUUGUCAAGGGUGCCAGGGGAGGGCUUCCCAGGCUCUGCAUCCUCACUGACUUCCCAGGCAUGGGCCAAUGGCUGUGAGUGGGACAAAACCCUACCAGGCCCAGCCACCAGUGCAGGCAGGAUCCAGGCUGCUGUGCUGCGCUUACUUUCGGGGUGGAGUGGGCCCCAUGGCACCUGUAGAGCCGUCCUGGCUGUCCUUCCCAUGGCCACCAGAUACACCAGGGGAGGUGCAGACCUAACCAUGCUAAGGAUAGCCGUCUACCUUCUUUACUCGAUUUCAAGUGCUAUGGCAAGACCUUGUUAAGCCUGAAAAACUGCACUAGAGCUGAACCCCUCGUCCCCUGGUGCUUUCUUGCCCCAGCCUUCAUCACCCCCAAGGCCUUCCAGCCUUCUACCAGUAUCCUGUGGACCAAGCUGCACCCUACCCUCAGUAGUCAUGGAGGGCACAGAGCUCACCACCUCCCUUCCAGCACCUUCCAGUUGUGUGUGUAUAUAUACACAUACACACACUGUCCCCCCAGCCCAUGCUGGGGGUGCUGAGGGGCCCCAUCUAGGGAAUGGGUGUAGCCAAGGGAGAGCCCUUCUCUACAGGAGUGUGUCUGGGGCUCUGGUUCACCUGCCCACUCACCCCGGGCCAGGAAUGAGCUCAGUGACCAUUUGGAUGCCAUGGAUUCCAACCUGGAUAACCUGCAGACCAUGCUGACCAGCCAUGGCUUCAGUGUGGAUACCAGCGCCCUGCUGGACAUACAGGAGCUCCUGUCUC